CUUUUAAAGGAUAAUUAGACAUCCAUUGGUCUUAGGAGCC
rnacentral:tRNA from 1 species